rnacentral:rRNA from 1 species
UACGGGGGGGGCAAGCGUUGUUCGGAAUUACUGGGCGUAAAGGGCUCGUAGGCGGCCAACUAAGUCAGACGUGAAAUCCCUCGGCUUAACCGGGGAACUGCGUCUGAUACUGGAUGGCUUGAGUUUGGGAGAGGGAUGCGGAAUUCCAGGUGGUAGCGGUGAAAUGCGUAGAUAUCUGGAGGAACACCGGUGGCGAAGGCGGCAUCCUGGACCAACACUGACGCUGAGUGAGCGAAAGCCAGGGGAGCAAACGGG